CCAAAUCAACGGCCGAAAGGCCUUGCCCUAGGGGGGGAAACCCUCCGACGGUAAACCCUUUGUGAAAACCCUUCGUUUGCCUCGGCGGCACGUCCCCUUCACGGGGGGUGGUCGGCCCGCCGACGGCACCAACCAAAACUCUUUUUUGAAUUGAAGAAUGUCUGAAUCAAUGGUCGAAUGACUAUA
rnacentral:misc_RNA from 1 species